GCACGGAGCCUGCCUGGAUCCUCUCUCUGCCCCUCCUCUGCUUGUGCAUGCUCUCUCUCAAAAUAAAUAAAUAAACUUUAAAAAAUAAAACAAUAAAAAUGAAAUAGGGAGUUUUCCGAAAGACCUGGAAGAUGAGAGAUUGAGAUAUUCAGACAAGUUGGGGUAAUGGCUUUGCCCCACCAGAAAGAUGAAGAAGAUGGAUGAAAACACAUCACCUUUCAAGUAGCUGCAGCCAAAACAGCUUGCACAAUCCAUCAAACCAGAGAACAACUGUAGAGAACAGUAGAAGAUGCUUGGAGGACAGUUUUCCCCUUUGGGGAAGCAGAAGGAGCCACAGGAUGGAGAGGAAGUGUGAGCAAACUCAGGACCCAGGAGGGUGAGGAGGUGGGUGUUUGGGACUGGGUGUUACUCUGGAGACCUGGAAGGUGAACCAAAGGCAGUUUUAGAGAAAUGGGUGUAUGCAGCUGGGUUCAAUACUUACUGGAAAAUUGUUGAAAAAGGAGAAAAGGAAAGGAAUGCGCACAAAAGUAACUGAAGAAGAUAAAAUAAUGGCUCACUUCAAGAUUGUAUUAAAAACCUCCACACUGAGAAAACUGCACUGCAGUCAGGAAAAUCACAGCUAGAGCGGGACAGGCAGAAACUGCUCUGGCAGAAACCAAAGUCCUUGAACUCACUUGAGUUCAGAAAGGAAUUUUCAUGCAGAUCCUGUCUUUGCAAAUCAGCAGCGCCUGCCCUCCCUGAGCCACUGACCCACCGGGCCAUGGGGGAAGUUGCAGACCACAAGUGCUAAUGGGCAGCUGUUCUCAAAGUUUGUGGCCACAGAACCCCUUUAACUCUUAAAAGCUGUUGAGGACCCCAAAGAGCUUUUUGUUUGGGUCCUGUCAACAUUCACCAGGAAAGAAAUUAAAGCCAAGAGCUUUAAAAAAAAUAUAUCAAUUCAUUUAAAAGCAAUAAAUUCACCACGCUAACUUUUUUUGAUGAAAAAUAACCAUAUUUUCCAAAACAAAAACUUUUUUUUUUUUUUUUUUUUGAUGAGUAGGAGCGCAAUAAUUGAUUUUGCAUUCUGCAGACGUUUAAUGUCUGGCUUAACAGACUGCAUUCCCACGUCUGUUUCUGCAUUCAGUCUGUCGCAGUCUGUCCUCUCGGUCCAAGAUAGGAGAGUUGGCUUCCCCGCCCUGGAAGGUGCAAUUGGGAAAGGGAGGACCAUGCUGUGGUAGUGAACUUUAAUCCACACCUUCUGGAAUAGAUGGCAGCACAAACCAGAGGGCGGAGCGACACCUCCCAGGGUAGUUGUCUUUGAAACUAUCUUGCGACAUCUGUGCAGACUGUCAUCGUUCCCUGGGCGUGUACUGGCCAACCCCCACCCCGAGCUGGGCUUUGUGCUCUGACCAACGGAACGAGUAUGCCCGACACACACGUGUGGGCAGGGGCUGGGUUGUGCUUGCAGGGGUUGGCUUGGCCUCUUGUGCUUCUGCCAUGAGAAAGAAGAACAUGCCCCAGGGAGCGCUCCUCCUUCACCUGGGACCCAGAGCAGAAUAAGGGAUGCAUUGUGGAACAGACCUGGAUCAGACCCAGGGCCCAGCGUGGAACCGCCACAGCUGACUUGUAGACGGGAGAGCGCAAGUCUGCAAGCCGCUGAGAUUUCCGAGCAAAAGCUAACCCAUCACCUUACAGGAGGAACUCGUUCCAGAGUUUGACACACGCUAAAUAUUGUGGAGAGUCCGCAUUAUGAGGUAGUAAGUCCCCAGGCACAGCUGAGAGAGCAUAUUGACUGUUACAGUCACUCCGCUGUCUUUAUCUAAUGGUUUGAGGCCGGAACAGGUACCUGACAGAGGACAGGGAGAAAGCUUAUCACCUUCAGAUCCUGGCUCUCCAACUCCGGGAGGAAGCGGGGGUUGGGUGAGUGUGGGGAAGGUCGGAGGGAUUGUACCAAUUGCCAACAACACCUAGCCUGAUGCCCCCGUAGACAGGAGGGACUGGCCAUCCCACUGCGUCCCCCAAACCCGCCCCUCGAUUCCUCCGGCAGCCUGCUCCUCCACUCCUGAGUCUUCCUGAAGUGCAAGUCCAUGUCUUUGAGAUAUCAUUUGAGGCUGGGAAGGGUGGUCAGGGGCUCUGUACUCCUGAAUACAAAGAUGGGCCCGAAGUUCGGGGCAGCAUUUUGCACACCCAGCUCUUGCUAUUUGCUUGUUAUCCCCCAUGGCGCGUGCCAUCUUGUCACUGUCACUUUUGUGUACUUUGUGCACGUGGGGAGGAAGCACAUCUGAAUCAUGUCUGGCUCAGGGUAGGUCUUCAAUAAAUGUUUGAAAAAAACAAAUGAA